rnacentral:rRNA from 1 species
UACGUAGGGUGCAAGCGUUGUCCGGAAUUAUUGGGCGUAAAGAGCUCGUAGGCGGUUUGUCGCGUCUGCUGUGAAAACUCGGGGCUUAACCCCGGGCCUGCAGUGGGUACGGGCAGACUAGAGUGCGGUAGGGGAGACUGGAAUUCCUGGUGUAGCGGUGAAAUGCGCAGAUAUCAGGAGGAACACCGGUGGCGAAGGCGGGUCUCUGGGCCGUAACUGACGCUGAGGAGAGAAAGCGUGGGUAGCAAACAGG